rnacentral:rRNA from 1 species
UACGGGGGGGGGCAAGCGUUGUUCGGAAUUACUGGGCGUAAAGGGCUCGUAGGUGGUCAACUAAGUCGGACGUGAAAUCCCUCGGCUUAACCGGGGAACUGCGUCCGAUACUGGAUGACUUGAGUUCGGGAGAGGGAUGCGGAAUUCCAGGUGUAGAGGUGAAAUUCGUAGAUAUUCGCAAGAACACCAGUGGCGAAGGCGGCUCACUGGCCCGGUACUGACGCUGAGGCACGAAAGCGUGGGGAGCAAACAGG